UCCCUGGUAGCUCAGAGGUAAAGAAACUGCCUGCAAUGCAGGAGCGGCAGAAAUCUCAGGUUUGAUCCCUGAGUAGGGAA
rnacentral:tRNA from 1 species